rnacentral:rRNA from 1 species
GGACCUGACUGCUAUCGGAUUGAUACUAAGCCAUGUGAGUCAUUGUAGCAAUACAAGGCAGACGGCUCAGUAACACGUAGCCAACCUACCCUAUGGACGGGGAUAACCUCGGGAAACUGAGGAUAAACCCCGAUAGAUCAUUAUACCUGGAACGGUUUAUGGUCCAAAUGAUUCGUCGCCGUAGGAUGGGACUGCGGCCUAUCAGCUUGUUGGUGAGGUAAUGGCCCACCAAGGCUAUUACAGGUACGGGCUCUGAGAGGAGAAGCCCGGAGAUGGGUACUGAGACACGGACCCAGGCCCUAUGGGGCGCAGCAGGCGAGAAAACUUUGCAAUGUGCGCAAGCACGACAAGGUUAAUCCGAGUGAUUCCUGCUAAAGGAAUCUUUUGCUAGUCCUAAAAACACUAGCGAAUAAGGGGUGGGCAAGUUCUGGUGUCAGCCGCCGCGGUAAAACCAGCACCUCAAGUGGUCAGGAGGAUUAUUGGGCCUAAAGCAUCCGUAGCCUGCUCUGUAAGUUUCCGGUUAAAUCCAUUAGCUCAACUGAUGGGCCGCCGGAAAAACUGCAAAGCUAGGGAGUGGGAGAGGUAGACGGUACUCGGUAGGAAGGGGUAAAAUCCUUUGAUCUAUUGAUGACCACCUGUGGCGAAGGCGGUCUACCAGAACACGUUCGACGGUGAGGGAUGAAAGCUGGGGGAGCAAACCGGAUUAGAUACCCGGGUAGUCCCAGCUGUAAACGAUGCAGACUCGGUGAUGCCCUGGCUUGUGGCCAGUGCAGUGCCGCAGGGAAGCCGUUAAGUUUGCCGCCUGGGAAGUACGUACGCAAGUAUGAAACUUAA